rnacentral:tRNA from 1 species
GAAGGUACAGCUCAGCGGUAGAGCACAUGCUUAGCGUGAAUGAGGUCCUGGGUUCCAUUCCCUGUGCCUCCA